GAAUUUUUUAAAAUAUAGGGAUAUAUUGGUUAUUGCAAGUAAAAAUAUUAAAUUUAGAAAAAAAAUUAAAAGCAGCAGCCCAUUAAUCCAACAACUAUUUUGCUUCUAACUCCUUUAAUUUUGAGAAGUUUUCUAUUCUACGUAGAUUUUUGGUAAAUCAAUAAUAAGUAAUCAAUUUUAAUGUGUCCUAUCCCUGAAAAGAAGUAUUCUCUCUAAUUUAUAUAAGGUGGUAUUUCAAUGAAUGAUGCGCUUUAGAGACAAGUAAUCAAUUUUAAUCUGUCCUAUCUCUGAAAAGAAGUAUUCUCUCUAAUUUAUAUAAGGUGGUAUUUCAAUGAAUGAUGCGCUUUAGAGACAAGUAAUCAAUUUUAAUCUGUCCUAUCU
rnacentral:misc_RNA from 1 species